rnacentral:rRNA from 1 species
UACGUAGGGGGCAAGCGUUGUCCGGAUUUAUUGGGCGUAAAGAGCGUGUAGGCGGCCAUGCAGGUCAGCUGUGAAAACUCGAGGCUCAACCUCGAGACGUCGGUUGAAACCGCUUGGCUAGAGUCCGGAAGAGGAGAGUGGAAUUCCCGGUGUAGCGGUGAAAUGCGCAGAUAUCGGGAAGAACACCCGUGGCGAAGGCGGCUACUCUCGGGACGGUACUGGACGCUGAGACGC